UACGAAGGGGGCUAGCGUUGCUCGGAAUCACUGGGCGUAAAGGGUGCGUAGGCGGGUCUUUAAGUCAGGGGUGAAAUCCUGGAGCUCAACUCCAGAACUGCCUUUGAUACUGAGGAUCUUGAGUACGGGAGAGGUGAGUGGAACUGCGAGUGUAGAGGUGAAAUUCGUAGAUAUUCGCAAGAACACCAGUGGCGAAGGCGGCUCACUGGCCCGUAACUGACGCCGAGGCACGAAAGCGUGGGGAGCAAACAGG
rnacentral:rRNA from 1 species